rnacentral:misc_RNA from 1 species
CUGUAGGAUCUGUGGCCCCUGUGGUCGCAGAACCGAACCCUUCUACCCUUGUCUAUGAGCACCUCUCGUUUCCUCGGCGGGUUCGCCCGCCAGAGGACCUUACUUAAAACUCUUUUGCCAUCCUUGCAGUACUGUCUGAUAGCGAAAGCAAUAUAAAUCA